AUGCUCAUCGAAGAUGUCUUCCCAUCUUUGCAGGCCAAUGCUAGAUCGAGAGAGUACAUGAGUGCACGUGCUAUUCUUUCAACCAAGAACGAUCAUGUCGAUGACCUGAAUGACAAAAUGAUCUCCAGGUUUCCAGGCGAAGAAAAGUUAUACCAUAGUUUUGACUCAAUUGAGGAUGACUUGCAGAAUAAUUACACAAUUGAUUUUUUGAACUCAAUCACACCAAAUGGCUUGCCCCCGCAUGUUUUGAAAUUAAAGGUCAACUGUCCAGUCAUUCUGCUCCGGAACCUCGACCCUCAUAAUGGUCUAUGCAAUGGAACACGGCUUAUGAUCAGAGCCUUUCAGGAUAAUGCAAUCGAUGCGGAGAUUGUUGGUGGUCAGCAUGCUGGAAAGAGGGUGUUUAUACCUAGGAUACCUAUGUCACCCUCAGAGGACAUCUCACUUCCUUUCAAACUUAAGAGAAAACAGUUCCCCAUCCGCCUGAGUUUUGCCAUGACAAUUAACAAGGCACAGGGUCAGACCAUCCCAAAUGUCGGCAUUUACCUUCUCGAGCCAGUAUUCUCACAUGGGCAGCUAUAUGUUGCAUUGUCAAGAGGAGUGUCGAGAGAGACGACACGGAUUUUGGCCAAGCCAAACAAGGAUGUUGAUAAAUCCGGGAAAAGCACCAAGAACAUUGUCUACAGAGAUGUUUUGGAGAGAUGA
rnacentral:rRNA from 1 species